rnacentral:rRNA from 1 species
AGCGGCAGGCUUAACACAUGCAAGUCGAGGGGCAGCACGGGUAGCAAUACCUGGUGGCGACCGGCGCAAGGGUGCGUAACGCGUGAGCAACAUGCCCUAUACAGGGGGAUAAUCCAGGGAAACUUGGUCUAAUAUCCCAUAGUAUUUAGAGGAGGCAUCUUCUAUAAAUUAAAGCUUCGGUGGUAUAGGAUUGGCUCGCGUGACAUUAGCUAGAUGGUGAGGUAACGGCUCACCAUGGCAAUGAUGUCUAGGGGUUCUGAGAGGAAGGCCCCCCACACUGGGACUGAGACACGGCCCAGACUCCUACGGGAGGCAGCAGUGAGGAAUAUUGGACAACUGGAUGGAAAUCUGAUCCAGCCAUGCCGCGUGCAGGAAGACAGCCCUAUGGGUUGUAAACUGCUUUUAUAUGGGAGCAAUAAGGUCUACGUGUAGACUGAUGAGAGUACCAUAUGAAUAAGCAUCGGCUAACUCCGUG